rnacentral:rRNA from 1 species
GAUGAACGCUGGCGGCGUGCCUAAUACAUGCAAGUCGAGCGAACAGACGAGGAGCUUGCUCCUCUGACGUUAGCGGCGGACGGGUGAGUAACACGUGGAUAACCUACCUAUAAGACUGGGAUAACUUCGGGAAACCGGAGCUAAUACCGGAUAAUAUAUUGAACCGCAUGGUUCAAUAGUGAAAGACGGUUUUGCUGUCACUUAUAGAUGGAUCCGCGCCGCAUUAGCUAGUUGGUAAGGUAACGGCUUACCAAGGCAACGAUGCGUAGCCGACCUGAGAGGGGGAUCGGCAACCGGAGAAGUGAGACAGGGCCAAGACGCCUAGGGGAGGCGCCGGUGGGUAGUCUUCCGAAUGGGGGAAAGGCCAGGCGGAGCAGCACCGGGAGGUGGAUGAGGAUCUUCGGAUCGAAAAUCUCUGUUUUGAGGGAAAAACAAUUAUGAAGGAAACUAUGCCCGUCGUGACGGUACAUAAUCAAAAGACCAGGGCUAACUACGUG